UGAUGUGAAUGCUGCACCAGCCCGGAUGCAGGCAGCCAGCAUACAAUGUAAGGGAGAGAAAGAGACUUGCUCCUUUUUGCUCUUGUUGGUUUUGCUGUUUUCUGCCCAUGAACUGUUGCCCCCUGCCAUGCUACCCUUCCUCGAAGCCAGUUGAUUAUGGACUGAAACCACCACAAACUGACAAAGCAACUAUCAAUUUCUGCAAUCACAAGAAUGAUCACUGUCACUAAAUAGAGGCCACAGGACAAUAGCAUCUGGCCAGCGUACAAUAGCGUAUUAAUUCAUUUCCUGUUGCUAUAGUAAAAUACUUGAGCCUACAUUCUUAUUAAAAGGCGUACAAUUGCCCUCCAAAAA